GUUUCUGUGAAGGAGUGAUGUCUGUGGGGAGGUUUAUGUGAAGAAGUGAUGUGUAUGGGGAGGUUUACGUGAAGGAGUGAUGUCUAUGAAGGAGUUUAUGUAAAGGAUGGAUGUCUAUGAGAGGGUAUAUGUGAAGGAGUGAUGUUUAUUGGCAGUUUUCUGUGAAGGAAUGAUGUCUGUGGGGGGUUUAUGUGAAGAAGUGAUGUGUAUGGGGAGGUUUAUGUGAAGAAGUGAUGUCUUUGAAGGAGUUUAUGUAAAGGAUGGAUGUCUAUGAGAGGGUAUAUGUGAAGGAGUGAUGUCUAUGAGGGGGUUUCUGUGAAGAGGUGAUGUCUAUGUGGGGGUUUGUGUGAAGGAGAGAUGUCUUUGGGGGGGUUUCUGUGAAGGAGUGAUGUCCAUGAGGAGGUUCAUGUGAAGGAGUGAUGUCUAUGAGGAGGUUUAUGUGAAGGAGUGACGUCUAUGAGGGGGGGUAUGUGAAGGAGUGAUGUCUAUGAGGGGGUUUAUGUGAAGGAGUGAUGUGUAUGAGGGGGUUUCUGUGAAGGAGUGAUGUGUAUGAGGGGGUUUCUGUGAAGGAGUGAUGUCUGUGGGGGGUUUAUGUGAAGAAGUGAUGUGUAUGGGGAGGUUUAUGGGAAGGAGUGAUGUCUAUGACGAGGUUAUGUGAAGGAGUGAUGUCUAUGGGGAGGUUUACGUGAAUGAAUGAUGUCUAUGAGAAGGCAUAUCAAAUCAAAUGUAUUUAUAUAGCCCUUCUUACAUCAGCUGAUAUCUCAAAGUGCUAUACAGAAACCCAGCCUAAAACCCCAAACAGCAAGCAAUGCAGGUGUAGAAGCACGGUGGCUAGGAAAAACUCCCUAGAAAGGCCAAAACCUAGGAAGAAACCUAGAGAAGAACCAGGCUAUGAGGGGUGGCCAGUCCUCUUCUGGCUGUGCUGGGUGGAGAUUAUAACAGAACAUGGCCAAGAUGUUCAAAUGUUCAUAAAUGACCAGCAUGGUCAAAUAAUAACAAUAAUCACAGUAGUUGUCAAGGGUGCAACAAGUCAGCACCUCAAGAGUAAAUGUCAGGUGGCUUUUCAUAGCCGUUCAUUG
rnacentral:lncRNA from 1 species